AUGGUUCAAACAAAGAAACAUGUAGUUUUUACAUUGAUGUACAGACUCAUGGAGUUGGCUUUAAUGCUGAUCCCAACGACAUCGGUUGAAAGAGCUUUCUCGGCAGUGAAGCUUAUCAAGUCUAAAUUGCGCAUCAAGAUGAACAAUACAUGGUUUAAUGACUUGAUGAUUUGCUACACCGAGCAAGAGAUUUUUAAAGGACUUGAUGGUAAUGCUAUUAUUAAACGGUUUCAAGUCAUGAAGUUUCAAAAAGGGCAUUUGUCUUGGUCUAAUUAA
rnacentral:rRNA from 1 species